UCAAACUUGGUCAUUUAGAGGAAGUACAAGUCGUAACAAGGUAUCCGUAGGUGAACCUGCGGAUGGAUCAUUACCAAAGGAUUUACUUCCACGUACUGUGAACUGUUUUGACUAACAGUCAGCGGCUGUUUGUCUUUCAGGCGGAUUCUUCCCCUGACAGGACGCGUCGCUGACUGACUACUAAACGCACUGUUACUUUUAGACUGAACUUCUUUAGUAAUGAACUAAAGACAACUUUUAGCAAUGGAUCUCUUGGUUCUCGCAUCGAUGAAGAACGCAGC
rnacentral:misc_RNA from 1 species